UUGAUCCUGGCUCAGAACGAACGCUGGCGGCAGGCCUAACACAUGCAAGUCGAACGCCCCGCAAGGGGAGUGGCAGACGGGUGAGUAACACGUGGGAACGUGCCCAAAGGUACGGAACAACUCCGGGAAACUGGAGCUAAUACCGUAUGUGCCCGAAAGGGGAAAGAUUUAUCGCCUUUGGAUCGGCCCGCGUCUGAUUAGCUAGUUGGCGGGGUAAUGGCCCACCAAGGCGACGAUCAGUAGCUGGUCUGAGAGGAUGGCCAGCCACACUGGGACUGAGACACGGCCCAGACUCCUACGGGAGGCAGCAGUGGGGAAUAUUGGACAAUGGGCGCAAGCCUGAUCCAGCCAUGCCGCGUGAGUGAUGAAGGCCUUAGGGUUGUAAAGCUCUUUCGCCAGGGACGAUAAUGACGGUACCUGGAUAAGAAGCCCCGGCUAACUUCGUGCCAGCAGCCGCGGUAAUACGAAGGGGGCUAGCGUUGUUCGGAAUCACUGGGCGUAAGGCGUAUGCAGGCGGAUCGUUAAGUCGGGGGUGAAAUCCCGAGGCUCAACCUCGGAACUGCCUUCGAUACUGGCGAUCUUGGAGUCCGGGAGAGGUGAGUGGAACUGCGAGUGUAGAGGUGAAAUUCGUAGAUAUUCGCAAGAACACCAGUGGCGAAGGCGGCUCACUGGCCCGGUACUGACGCUGAGAUACGAAAGCGUGGGGAGCAAACAGGAUUAGAUACCCUGGUAGUCCACGCUGUAAACGAUGGAUGCUAGCCGUCGGUGGGCAUGCCCUUCGGUGGCGCAGCUAACGCAAUAAGCAUCCCGCCUGGGGAGUACGAUCGCAAGAUUAAACUCAAAGGAAUUGACGGGGGCCCGCACAAGCGGUGGAGCAUGUGGUUCAAUUCGAAGCAACGCGAGACCUUACCA
rnacentral:rRNA from 1 species